GACCACCCAUGUUCACACCCUAGUCAACUCCACAAAAAUUCAAAAUUUAUGUGAAGUUUCUCCAUGGUAAUUCAAAGCUCUCAUCCCUUCUCCAUACCCUAAUGGAUGAGGAUAGAAUCUAGUUCAAUUAGAAUUUAAAUUAGAUUUGAAGUCAACUUGGAACUCGAUCUUUAUCCUAGUUCAAAUUUGAUUUGAACUAGGUCUUAUUCUCAUCUCCACGCC
rnacentral:lncRNA from 1 species